rnacentral:rRNA from 1 species
ACCCGCUGAACUUAAGCAUAUCAAUAAGCGGAGGAAAAGAAACCAACAGGGAUUGCCCUAGUAACGGCGAGUGAAGCGGCAACAGCUCAAAUUUGAAAUCUGGCGUCUUUGGCGUCCGAGUUGUAAUUUGCAGAGGGCGCUUUGGCAUUGGCAGCGGUCCAAGUUCCUUGGAACAGGACGUCACAGAGGGUGAGAAUCCCGUACGUGGUCGCUAGCCUUUACCGUGUAAGGCCCCUUCGACGAGUCGAGUUGUUUGGGAAUGCAGCUCUAAAUGGGAGGUAAAUUUCUUCUAAAGCUAAAUACUGGCCAGAGACCGAUAGCGCACAAGUAGAGUGAUCGAAAGAUGAAAAGCACUUUGGAAAGAGAGUUAAAAAGCACGUGAAAUUGUUGAAAGGGAAGCGCUUGCAGCCAGACUUGCCUGUAGUUGCUCAUCCGGGUUUUUACCCGGUGCACUCUUCUAUAGGCAGGCCAGCAUCAGUUUGGGCGGUUGGAUAAAGGUCUCUGUCAUGUACCUCUCUUCGGGGAGAACUUAUAGGGGAGACGACAUGCAACCAGCCCGGACUGAGGUCCGCGCAUCUGCUAGGAUGCUGGCGUAAUGGCUGU